GGAGAGGUGGCCGAGUGGCUGAAGGCGCACGAUUCGAAAUCGUGUUUACGCUAACCCGUAACGAGAGUUCGAAUCUCUCUCUCUCCGCCA
rnacentral:tRNA from 1 species